UUUCCGUAGGUGAACCUGCGGAAGGAUCAUUAUUACAUAACCCUGGGAGAAGCGUGUUCGGUGACACGAAAGUGCAAUCACGCGCGAGUGCGGUGACAUACAUUCUUCACACCCCUAUGUGCACUACCUCGCUUGUUCCCCUAUUUAUUGUCCGGAGGGGGGCCUACCUUUUCACGCAGACUAUGCCCGCCGUGUCGCAUGUCUUUAUAGUUUUUGCGACAACGUAAUCUACACAACUUUCAACAACGGCUCUUUUGCCUCUCGCAUCGACCAAGAACG
rnacentral:misc_RNA from 1 species